AUUGAACGCUGGCGGCAGGCCUAACACAUGCAAGUCGAGCGGAUGAAGGGAGCUUGCUCCUGGAUUCAGCGGCGGACGGGUGAGUAAUGCCUAGGAAUCUGCCUGGUCGUGGGGGAUAACGUCCGGAAACGGGCGCUAAUACCGCAUACGUCCUGAGGGAGAAAGUGGGGGAUCUUCGGACCUCACGCUAUCUGAUGAGCCUAGGUCGGAUUAGCUAGUUGGUGGGGUAAAGGCCUACCAAGGCGACGAUCCGUAACUGGUCUGAGAGGAUGAUCAGUCACACUGGAACUGAGACACGGUCCAGACUCCUACGGGAGGCAGCAGUGGGGAAUAUUGGACAAUGGGCGAAAGCCUGAUCCAGCCAUGCCGCGUGUGUGAAGAAGGUCUUCGGAUUGUAAAGCACUUUAAGUUGGGAGGAAGGGCAGUAAGUUAAUACCUUGCUGUUUUGACGUUACCAACAGAAUAAGCACCGGCUAACUUCGUG
rnacentral:rRNA from 1 species